UACGGAGGAUGCGAGCGUUAUCCGGAUUUAUUGGGUUUAAAGGGAGCGUAGGUGGAUUGUUAAGUCAGUUGUGAAAGUUUGCGGCUCAACCGUAAAAUUGCAGUUGAAACUGGCAGUCUUGAGUACAGUAGAGGUAGGCGGAAUGUAUGGUGUAGCGGUGAAAUGCUUAGAGAUCAUACAGAACACCGAUUGCGAAGGCAGCAUGCCGGCUCCACACUGACGCUGAGGCACGAAAGCGUGGGUAUCGAACAGG
rnacentral:rRNA from 1 species